GUCUUCGUGGCGCAGUUGGCUAGCGCGUUGGUCUCAUAUUCAUAUGAUAUGAUCCGGUCCAAGACUGGGACAUCCAGAGGUCGUGAGUUCGAGCCUCACCGAGGACA
rnacentral:tRNA from 1 species